AUACUGAAUUCCUUGAUAAAUACUGGUUUUGAGGUCAAAAUAUUGGGCUGCCACAACUUCCCGCGUGGCCCCUUUAAUUUCUGAAUUUCCUGUUUUUUUUUUUUUAUUCCUGAUGUCAUCAUGUGCAGGGUGUGAGUGAUGACAUUAUCUUCUGCAGACCAGUCUGUGUGUGCACUAUACAGCCUUCUUCUCCAACUCAGCUCUUCCUCCAGGAAUCCAGUACAUCGGCAUAGUGUAGAAGAAUCAUUCCUGAAAAAGACUUGAACUUGAUGGUACACAUGCAUGAGAUUUCUGCUUCUCUGAUAGUUUUUAACACUGUAAAUGGAUAGAGGAAACAAAAUCCAGGUUGUCAUCUUUGCUUUCCAAAUUCUGAUGUGCACAGGAACAUUUUUUACUGCUUUUAACCAUCUAACAGGUAAUGAGGACAGAGCCAGGAAAUGAGCCCUGUGCAUUCAGUGGAUGCACAGGCUGGAGGAGCAGCAGAGGGAGAAAGAUUACAUUCAUAUAUCCCUGGAAAGAUGUGAUUAGAGGCUUGAGAUUUUCCAUCCUGAGCAGAUGACAAAGUGCCCAGAUCUUCAAGUUGUGAAGUCCAGAGUGGACCAAAAGAAAAUGAUAGUAUCCCUUAUCCAUGUGUAUGUUUGGUGCCUGUAAAACUAAGAUGGUGACUAAUUCUUGGCAUUACUGAGGACGUGUCCUGCUAUGGCCCUGCUGGUACAAGGAUACUGGAGUUGAGAACACACUGUACCACAGGUAUUAGUUCAGUUAUUUGUUAUCUUACUCAAAGAAAAACAGUUCAUUGUACCUAAAUGACAGGCAUGCUGAAAGUACAAUUAUGCAAACACUGUUUCACUAUGAGAUUAUUGCAGAAAUUAUAUAUUUUAUUUCCUCCAGGUUGUAGACAUGUUGGACCUGAUUAUAAUUAGUUUCUAAUUAGUGUGGGGAUAUGGAGCCACAAUGGACUAACAUUCCAUUCAAAACUUUUAUGCCUCUUGCUUGCUGCAACUUGUUGUAUGUCCCACAACCAUAAAAAUCAUAGAGUUAAUAUCAGAAAAAUGAAUACACGAAGAUGUGGCGAUGGCACUGUAUUUUGUCAUUCUAUCUCUGUAUUAAGAAAAUGAAUAUUCACCACAGGCUGUUACAUUUGAUGCUAUCUUGUCUAAGGAAAACACCAACUUAAUCCUAUCUUACAGUUUGUUAAUGAUAACUUUAACUGUCAAUUAACAGUACAGUCUGUAUA